UGCCAGCCGCCGCGGUAAUACGGAGGGGGCUAGCGUUGUUCGGAAUUACUGGGCGUAAAGCGCGCGUAGGCGGGCUGUUAAGUCGGGGGUGAAAUCCCGGGGCUCAACCCCGGAACUGCCUUCGAUACUGGCAGCCUAGAGAUCUGGAGAGGCGAGUGGAAUUCCGAGUGUAGAGGUGAAAUUCGUAGAUAUUCGGAGGAACACCAGUGGCGAAGGCGGCUCGCUGGACUGUAACUGACGCUGAGGCUCGAAAGCGUGGGGAGCGAACAGGAUUAGAUA
rnacentral:rRNA from 1 species